rnacentral:lncRNA from 1 species
CCCAGAUGGGCAACCUGGGGACUCGUCCUUGACCUCCCUACUCCACUUCCCUCACAUAUCUGGUCAUGACCAGGUUCUGGGGAUCCCCUGCUGGUGCGCCUCUGUCCCGUCUGACCCUCCCUGUUCUGCCCCAGGCCCUGCCCAUCCAUGGCCCUGUCUUCCUCCUGACCGUGUCCCUCUUUCUUCUCCCUUUCUGACCCGUCCUCCCCUUCAUUUCCCCAGCAGCCUCUUCACUAACACUCUUGAACAUGUCACUCCCCUGCUCAGAGUUCCUCAGCAUCUUCCAUCUGUCUCAGGGGUGCUGCCCAAACCCCUCCACCCUCUUCUGGCCUGGCCACCCAUCUCCCUUCCCUGCCCUACACCCCGGUGGCCACUUGGUGACUUACCAGGUUAUUUUAAGCUCCUGUUUUUACCCCGAGUUCUCGCCUGGUCCCUUGCCUACCUCUUUCUGGCCUGCUGGCGAGUCCUCGACACCCCCAGGCCUGGAUGAGGCACCCCUUUCGUUAUGAAGCCUUCCGACCCCCCAUGAGUUUCCCAGCUCAGAUCGGUGUGUCUUCUCCUCCAUGACGCCUUUGAUGGUGGGACCCAGAACUUGUUGAGUUAGUAACGGCCACAAUGACACACAGGAGUGAGAAGACCAUCUGCUGCAGAGACGCAAGAUCAAGUGCUACUUCCUGUCGGCAGGAGUCACCGUCCUGCUGGUCAUCAUUCUCGUCAUCGCCACCUCUAUCCGAAAGUGAGGCCACCUGCGACGUUCAGCGCCUCCCUGUUCCCACCCUCCUGAAUGUCUGAGGCCGAGAUGAGGGGCCUUCUCCUAUCCUGGCCUCAGCUGUAGGACUGGAGCACAGGUCGUGCUGUCACGUGGCCUGCGUGGACCCUGGGGAGCUUCGCACCUGCCUGCCUCCCAGCUGUGUGCUGACCCCGCCGCCUCUGCACAGCCCCUGGCUGAGCCUGCGCCAAUAAACCGCCACUGCUUGGCCAGCCCCGUGCCUGUCUGUUUGCAUCUGUGGGCGGGGUGGGG